UACAGAAGUUGUAUACAAUCAAAGUAUACAUAGUCAUCAUAUUUCCAAGAAACAGUUAACAUAUUCAUACAAUUUCCGAGAACUCAUUAGUAUGUGUAAAUGCUCGUGACGCAUGCGCCUUCAGGUACACAGGUGGUUGUCUAAGGUGCUCUGGUGGUCGUCCAUAGUCUUCCUCACUGCUUCAGUGAAUGUCCAUGAAGGAAGUAGCAGUACAAGGGGAAGGAAGGCUUUUUAAAAACCACGUACUGUAGUGUGCUAUUGAGAGGCAUAAAAGAGCGGGAAGUUCCCAAUAUCCGCUGAUCCUACUUUCUAGAGCACUAAUCAAACAUUUUCUGUGUAUGUGGUUGAGAUGUUUAUCAACCUUCCUGGCAUAUUGUAAGAAUUAACUGAAUAACUUUUUUUUUAAUUAUUUUUCUGCUAACAUUAUGCUCAGUGGUAGCUGAGACAUGCAUGUAAGAAUAAUUAAGUAACUCUUCUUGACAUGAAUGUGGUUUUCCUCUUCAUUCUCUUUUUAUUUUCAGUGGAAUCUGGCUGAAAAUCUAUUCCGGUUGUUUUCAGCCAAAAAGGACAAUUUGGAAAAUGAAGUCUGAACCACCAGAAACUGUUUCCUUGGGCUGUGCUGCUCUGCGUGAUAGAAAGCCUGGGUACUGGAAGAAAGAAUACCUCUUCAAACAAAUAGCUGCUGUCAAAAUGAGAAGCCUCUGGCUUGAGGUGGAGAAUUGUUCUAAAGGACAAAAAUGGAAAGGAACACGUAAUGGAGAAGGCAAACCUGUCGAUUAAGGACACAUCUGUUACUAUACUUUGGUAUAGUACAAAUUGGCCAUGCUUAGACAUCCUGUCAAGCCUGAGACUGUUUGGAGUUAUGCCAUUGCUUCCUGACCAAAGCAGAGCUCCCAGCAAGAAUGGAACAGUGAACAUCAGCCCCGGGACCAAGGGCACCGCGGGCAACGCGAGUACUGCGGGCACUACGUCGUUUGCCGCGCUGGUGGCGACGAGCUCUCCGUGCUUGCAGCUGCCACGUGUUGCUGGCAGCAAUGAAUUUGCUCCGCCUCCUCGUCCUGCUGGCCCUGUGCGGGCCUGCGCACGGCACGUGGGACAC